rnacentral:rRNA from 1 species
GACGAACGCUGGCGGCGUGCCUAAUACAUGCAAGUCGAGCGGACUGAUUAAGAGCUUGCUCUUAUGACGUUAGCGGCGGACGGGUGAGUAACACGUGGGCAACCUGCCCUGUAGAUCGGGAUAACACCGAGAAAUCGGUGCUAAUACCGGGUAAUAUCUGAGAUCACAUGAUCUUAGGUUAAAAGAUGGCUCCGGCUAUCACUACAGGAUGGGCCCGCGGCGCAUUAGCUAGUUGGUAAGGUAAUGGCUUACCAAGGCGACGAUGCGUAGCCGACCUGAGAGGGUGAUCGGCCACACUGGGACUGAGACACGGCCCAGACUCCUACGGGAGGCAGCAGGAGGGAAUCUUCCGCAAUGGACGAAAGUCUGACGGAGCAACGCCGCGUGAGUGAUGAAGGGUUUCGGCUCGUAAAGCUCUGUUGUUAGGGAAGAAACAGUACCGAACGAACUAGGUCGGUACCUUGACGGUACCUAACCAGAAAGCCACGGCUAACUACGUG